rnacentral:rRNA from 1 species
AUUGAACGCUGGCGGCAUGCCUUACACAUGCAAGUCGAACGGUAACAGGUCUUCGGAUGCUGACGAGUGGCGAACGGGUGAGUAAUACAUCGGAACGUGCCUAGUAGUGGGGGAUAACUACUCGAAAGAGUGGCUAAUACCGCAUGAGAUCUACGGAUGAAAGCAGGGGAUCGCAAGACCUUGUGCUACUAGAGCGGCCGAUGGCAGAUUAGGUAGUGGGUGGGAUAAAAGCUUACCAAGCCGACGAUCUGUAACUGGUCUGGGAGGACGAUCAGCCACACGGGACUGAGACACGGCCCAGACUCCUACGGGAGGCAGCAGUGGGGAAUUUUGGACAAUGGGCGAAAGCCUGAUCCAGCAAUGCCGCGUGCAGGAUGAAGGCCUUCGGGUUGUAAACUGCUUUUGUACGGAACGGAAAGCCCCGGGUUAACACCCUGGGGUCAUGACGGUACCGUAAGAAUAAGCACCGGCUAACUACGUGCCAGCCGCCGCAGUAA